UGGCGGCAUGCCUUACACAUGCAAGUCGAACGGCAGCAUGGAAGAGCUUGCUCUUCUGAGUGGCGAGUGGCGAACGGGUGAGUAAAGCAGUCGGAACGUACCGUGUAGGUGGGGAUAACGUAGCGAAAGUUACGCUAAUACCGCAUACGCACUGAGGUGGAAAGCAGGGGAUCGCAAGACCUUGCGCUAUACGAGCGGCCGAUGUCAGAUUAGCUAGUUGGUAGGGUAAAGGCCUACCAAGGCGACGAUCUGUAGCGGGUCUGAGAGGAUGAUCCGCCACACUGGGACUGAGACACGGCCCAGACUCCUACGGGAGGCAGCAGUGGGGAAUUUUGGACAAUGGGCGAAAGCCUGAUCCAGCCAUGCCGCGUGAGUGAAGAAGGCCUUCGGGUUGUAAAGCUCUUUCGGCUGGGAAGAAAUCGCACAGGCUAAUACUCUGUGUGGAUGACGGUACCAGCACAAGAAGCACCGGCUAACUACGUG
rnacentral:rRNA from 1 species